CGUCUGGGAGACGACCGCGGGACGCCCUGACAUCAGCCUCUGCAGCCGGAGCUGCGCUGAGCUGCUGGACUGAAGGCUUCUCUGACCUUAAGGCUUAGCGCUGGUUCAGGCUGCUUCGACAAGUGUUAUUAACGCUGAGCAUCCUUGAUGUGAAGCAGCCAGCGUCGACGGACAACGCGGCCGCGUGCGACCGUGACCUCGGAGGAAGAACGGAGAGAACGGAGGCCGUCGUCGGAGCAAUUGUCACAGAAAAUGAAGUUAUCCCACGUGAAGUUAUCCGUAAGUCCGUAUUCAGAUUCUGCGCCUGCCGAGAUCCUCUCUCUU
rnacentral:lncRNA from 1 species